GGAGAUCCCUUCUGUGACCUGUGGGCUUCCCUUUGUCAUCCUAUGCCUGGAGCUUGGAUAAGGCAGGGACAGCAAAGGGAUGCUCAGCUGUCACCACUGAC
rnacentral:pre_miRNA from 12 species